UACGUAGGCAGCGAGCGUUGUUCGGAGUUACUGGGCGUAAAGGGUGCGUAGGCGGCGCGGUAAGUCGGAUGUGAAACCUCCAAGCUCAACUUGGAGCGGCCAUUCGGAACUGCUGUGGCUAGAGUCUGGUAGGGGAACACGGAAUUCCUGGUGUAGCGGUGAAAUGCUUAGAUAUCAGGAGGAACACCAGUGGCGAAGGCGGUGUUCUGGGCCAGUACUGACGCUGAGGCGCGAAAGCGUGGGGAGCGAACAGG
rnacentral:rRNA from 1 species